rnacentral:lncRNA from 1 species
AAUCUCAACCAAAACCCUAGUGAGGCAUUUUUGGAUAUUCACAACCUAACUCUAAAGUUUAUAUGGAGAGGUAAGAGACUCAGAAUAUCAAACAAAAUAUUAAAGGAGAAUAACAAAGUUGGAGAACUGACACUACCCAAUUCCAGGCUUACUCUAAAGCUACAGAAAUUAAGACAGCAUGAUACUGGCAAGAGAAGAGACAAAUAAAUCAAUGGAACACAACGAAGAACCUAGAAAUAGACUCAUAAAUCUAGUCAACUGAUCUUUGACAAAGGAGCAAAGACAGUACAAUGAAGCAAAUAUGAUCUGUUCAACAAAUGCUGCUGGAACAAGUAGACAUCUGCAUGUCAAAUAAGGCAAAACAAGGAAUCUAGACACCACAAACCUUACACUCUUCACAAAAAUUAAUUCAAAACAUAUCGUAGGCCUAUGUGUAAAACAUGAAAGUAUACAACUCUUAGAAAACAACAUAGGAGAAAACCUUGGGUAUGAUAAGACUUUUUAGAUAUAACAGCAAAAACAUAAUCAUGAAAGAAUCAAUAAGCUAGACUUUAUUAAAAUCAAAAAUUUCUUCUCUGUGAAAAACAGUGCUAAGAGAACGAAAAGACAAUCUACACUGUGGAAUAAAAUAUUUUCAAAAGACACAUCUGAUAAAGGAUUGUUAUCCAAAAUAUAUGAAGAACUCCUAAAACUCAACAAUAAGGAAAUGAUCUAAUUUAAAAAUAAGCAAAAACCUUAGCAGGCACCUCAUCAAGGAAGAUUACAGAUUACAAAUAAGUAUAUGAAAAUCUGUUCCUCAUUAUAUGUCUUCUGGGAAAUACAAAUUAAAACAGUGAGAGAUACCACUGCACAUUUAUUAGAAUAGCCAAAAUCUGGAACACUGACAAUACCAAAUGCUGGCAAUGAUGUACAAUAACAGGAAUUCUCAAUCAUUUCUUGUGGGAAUGCAAAAUAAUACAGAUCCUUUGGAAGACAAUUUUGUGGUUUAUAAACAAAACUAAACAUAUGAAGGGGUGGGUUGCCCCUCCACCUGUGGGUUUUUCUCGUUAGGUGGAACGAGAGACUUGGAAAAGAGACACAGAGACAAAGUAUAGAGAAAGAAAAAGGGGGCCCAGGAGACCGGCGUUCAAUACACGGAGGAUCCCACCGGCCUGAGUUCCCUCAAUAUUUAUCCAUCAUUAUUGGGUGUUUCUCGGAGAGGGGGAUGUGGCAGGGUCAUAGGAUAAUAGUGGAGAGGAGUUCAGCAGGUAGACACGUGAACAAAGGUCUCUGCAUCAUAAACAAGGUAAAGAAUUAAGUGCUGUGCUUUAGAUAUGUAUACACAUAAACAGCUCAAUGCCUUAAAGAGCAGUAUUGCUGCCCGCAUGUCCCACCUCCAGCCCUAAGGCGGUUUUCCCCUAUCUCAGUAGAUGGAAUAUACAAUCGGGUUUUACACUGAGACAUUCCAUUGCCCAGGGACUAGCAGGAGACAGAUGCCUUCCUCUUGUCUCAACUGCAAGGAGGCGUUCCUUCCUCUUUUACUAAUCCUCCUCAGCACAGACCAUUUAUGGGUGUCGGGCUGGGGGACGGUCAGGUCUUUCCCUUUGCACGAGGCCAUAUCUCAGGCUAUCACGUGGGGAGAAGCCUUGGACAAUACCUGGCUUUCCUAGGCAGAGGUCCCUGCGGCCUUCCACAGUGUUUUGUGUCCCUGGGUACUUGAGAUUAGGGAGUGAUGAUGACUCUUAACAAUCAUGCUGCCUUCAAGCAUUUGUUUAACAAAGCACAACUUGCACAGCCCUUAAUCCAUUUAACCCUGAGUUGACACAGCACAUGUUUCAGGGAGCACAGGGUUGGGGGUAGGGUUACAGGUUAACAGCAUCUCAAGGCAGAAGAAUUUUUCUUAGUACAGAACAAAAUGGAGUCUACUAUGUCUACUUCUUUCUACACAGACACAGUAACAAUCUGAUCUCUGUUUCUUUUCCCCACAAACAUACUCUUACCAUAAAAUCCAGCAAUCAACUUCUUGGUAUUUACCCAAAGGAGAUGAUUAUUUAUGUCCACACAAAAACCUACACACAGAUGUUUAUAGCAGCUUUAUUCAUAAUUGCCAAAAGUUGGAAGCAACGACAAUAUUCUUCAGUAGGUCAAUGGAUAAUACUGUGGUGUAUCUGGAUAAUGGAAUUAUUAUUCAGCACAAAAGAAGUGGAACAUCAAGCCACGAAAAGACUGGGAGGAACCUUAAAUGCAUAUUACUAGGUGAAAGAAACCAGUCUGAAAAGGCUAUAUUAUGUAUGAUUCCAACUAUAUGGCACUUUAUAAAAGACAAAACUAUGAAGACAGCAAAAAGAUCAAUGCUCACCAGUGUCAGGCCUCUGAGCCCAAGCCAAGCCAUCGCAUCCCUUGUGACUUGCACGUAUACACCCAGAUGGCCUGAAGUAACUGAAGAAUCACAAAAGAAGUGAAUAUGCCCUGCCCCACCUUAACUGAUGACAUUCCACCACAAAAGAAGUGUAAAUGGCCGGUCCUUGCCUUAAGUGAUGACAUUACCUUGUGAAAGUCCUUUUCCUGGCUCAUCCUGGCUCAAAAAGCACCCCCACUGAGCACCUUGCGACCCCCACUCCUGCCCGCCAGAGAACAAACUCCCUUUGACUAAUUUUCCUUUAUCUACCCAAAUCCUAUAAAACGGCCCCACCCUUAUCUCCCUUCGCUGACUCUCUUUUCCGACUCAGCCCACCUGCAGACCCAUCUGACCUCUCCCCUCCUCGCCAGACUGAGCUAGGUCCCAAUUCUUCCUCAGCCUCUGCUCCUCCACCCUAUAAUCUUUUUAUCGCCUCCCCUCCUCACACCUGGUCGGGCUUACAGUUUCAUUCCAUGACUAGCCCUCCCCCACUUGCCCAGCAAUUUACUCUUAAAAAGGUGGCUAGAGCCAAAGGCAUAGUCAAGGUUAAUGCUCCUUUUUCUUUAUCCCAAAUCUGAUAGCGUUUAGGCUCUUUUUCAGCAAAUAUAAAAAUCCAGCCCAGUUCAUGACUUGUUUGGCAGCAACCCUGAGAUGCUUUACAGCCCUAGACCCUAAAAGGUCAAAAGGCCAUCUUAUUCUCAAAAUACAUUUUAUUACCCAAUCUGCUCCCGACAUUAAAUAAAACUCCAAAAAUUAAAUUCUGGCCCUCAACCCCACAACAGGAUUUAAUUAACCUCGCCUUCAAGGUGUACAAUAAUAGAAAAAAGUUGCAAUUCCUUGCCUCCACUGUGAGACAAACCCCAGCCACAUCUCCAGCACACAAGAACUUCCAAACGCCUGAACCGCAGCGGCCACGCGUUCCUCCAGAACCUCCUCCCACAGGAGCUUGCUAUACGUGCUGGAAAUCUGGCCACUGGGCCAAGGAAUGCCCGCAGCCCAGGAUUCCUCCUAAGCCGCGUCCCAUCUGUGUGGCACCCCACUGAAAAUUGGACUGUUCAACUCACCUGGCAGCCACUCCCAGAGCCCCUGGAACUCUGGCCCAAGCCUCUCUGACUGACUCCUUCCCAGGUCUUCUCGGCUUAGCGGCUGAAGACUGACACUGCCCAAUCGCCUCGGAAGCCCCCUAGGCCAUCACGGAUGCCGAGCUUCGGGUAACUCUCACAGUGGAAGGGUACACAGAAUGAUUACAUUUGUUCCUUGCUGUUAGGAGGAACAAGCAGAAGUUCCAUAUGCCACCUUCUUCUGCUACUGCAGCAACAAGUGAUAUUCGAGACAGUGAAGCCCCCAUCAAUUCUAGACUGAUAUGGAGCAGAGACGACCUCCUAUACACACUCCCACUACUGACCCAUGGUGGACAAGAAACCAGAAAUUUCAUUAUGUUAAGCUUCUGAGAUAUUUCUGUUUUUUCCACUGAACAUUAUUCUAAUUUAUGUGAUAUAUUUGAUUUUAGAGCUAACUUGUUCUAAAGCUUACAGUCUUUUGCUGGGCAGGGUAGCAGUUCCAGCCACUUAGUAGGCUGAAACAGGAGGAUGGCUUAAGCUCAGGAGUUUGAGACCAGCCUGGGCUAAAUAAUGAGACCCCAUCUCUUAAAAAUAUAUACAAAAUAUAUAAACAAAAAUAAAGCUUACAAUUUUUUUCAACAACAACCUUGUGUAUAGUUCAAACGGAUUUUGUACCCCAUACCUUAGUAACCUACUCAAUGUCAUAUAAGCCUUUCUACCUUUCAGAGUAUCUUCUUGUCAUUCCUUCUUAAAAUGCUCCUCCCAAAUCCUAUUCUGUCUUUUUUUACUACUUUUGAUCUGAACUGUCCAAUAUGUGACUUUGUCCAUAUGUGUCCACAUGCAACUAUUGAGCCCUUGAAAUAUGGCUAGUUCAAAACUGAGAUACACUGUAAGUAUAAUACUGCAUACUGGAUUUUGAACAAUUAGGACAAAAAGAAUAUUAAAUAUAUUCUUAAAAUUAAUUACAUGUUAAAAUGGUAUGUUGGAUAUAUUUGGUUAAAUGAAACUUUAUUAAAAUGAAUUAGCCCUGUUUCUUAUUUUUUUUUUUGUUUUUUGUUUUUAAUUGUGUCUGCUCAAAAAACUAAAAUUACACAAGUGGUUCACAUUUGUAUCUUGAGUAAUAUUUCCAUGGAGAGCACAAAAAUAGAUCCUGAUGAAAGAAUAUAUCCAUCUUAAAACUUUUCUUGAAGAUCUAAAUCAGCUACAGUGACUUUCUUUCUUUUGUAGGGAAGGGAAAAAUAUCUUUUCCUAACCCAUCUGCCUAUCCGAGGUUCUUAGCUGAGACACCUAUAACCAAAGGUAGAUAAACAUACAAAUUUCUUUAAAUAAGUUUUAUGAACACAGAACCCCUCACAAGAAAAUGGAGACCAGAAAAAACAGUUAAACUUGUGUAUGCUUAUGCCUGGAUUGAUGAAGAGUAGACAGUCAUGGAGAAAUAUGAUUGGACAAAAGUUAUGGAAAUAAACUGGGGAAACAGCAAGGCCUGUUUGUUCAGAUUUUUCUGUGUGGCUCUUUGUCUUGAGAUGAGAAUGUGCCUUUCUUCUGGGUAUAAGGAGGGUACCUCUUACAUAAGGUCUUAUAACCAGCUUGAGGGGAGAAGGGCAAGGGGAAGGUGAGAGUGACCUCCUAGCUUCUGCUAUUUUUCCAAAUGCCAAGCUGCCAUAUUUCAGUGUAGCAUGACCUGAACCCCAUCACUCCACAUCACCUUACUCUAUAAAUUCAUUUUGCUAUUUUUUCUAUUUAUAUUAGUCCAUUUUCAUACGCUAUGAAGAAAUACCUGAGACUGGGCAAUUUAUAAAGAAAAAGAGGCUUAAUAGACUCACAGUUCCACAUGGCUAGGGAGGUCUCACAAUCAUGGUGGAAGGUGAAAGAGGAGAAAAGCCACGUUUUACGUGGCAGCGGGCAAAAGAGUGUGUACAGGGGAACUCUCCUUUAUAAAACCAUCAGAUCUCAUUAGACGUAUUCACUAUUCACUAGCACCAGGGGAAAAACCCAUCCCCAUGCUUCAAUUACCUCCCACUGGGUCCCUCCCAUGACAUGUGGAGAUUGUGGGAGCUACAAUUCAAGAUAAGAUUUGGGGGGUAACACAGCCAAACCAGGUUACUAUUGUAUAUCAUUAUAUUAAUGAUGCUUAUCUGAAACAAUUGUCCUGUCUUAAUAGGUACAAAGCUUUUAAAAUUACAGAAUAUUUGUUAUUUCUCUGAGACCUCCCUACAGUACUUUGCAGUCUACUUUGUACAGAUUACACAUUCUAUGAACUGUUUUAACUGAUUUUGGACAGUGAGGUUUCUGAGGAAGACAUUGAUGGCAGGCUGCUUUGAUUUGUGAUUGUUGUAUCUAUUCUGGGCUCUCACCAAAUGCUCACUGGAGUAGACAUUUCAGAGUAUAAAAAAAAGUUAAAAAUUCAAAAACACAAAAGGCACUCAAAUAAACCAGGAUUUGAAAAUCACCAAUUUCAAUUUUUCUAAACUCUUAAUGAGAACCUCACCUGGUCUAUAAUUGAAGAUCAACCAAAGGUCAUGCAGAAAAACAAAAUAGAAUGUAACAAGUAAGCUCUUCUACUAUUUCAUGCUUAGGUACAUUGACAGCGGGCCUCAUAGAAAUGGGGCUAAUCUAAAAAUAAAUAUCCAUAUUUUGGUUUGAAGAAAUAAUUAUCCUAUGCAAGUUCUUAGACCCAUCUCUAGGAAUACUGAAAGACAGAUAUUUUUCUCACACAAGUAAAUAUUCUACCAUGUUUCAAAAAAAAGUGAAAGACAAUAAAAAUGGUAUUGGAAAGAGUGUGCUAAAGAUGACCAUCUGUUCUCCAGGAGGUGAAAGAAAAGGAGCUUAAAAUUACACUAAGGGACAUAGUAUGUUUACAAAGUAUACUAAUACUACAGAGACUGCUGGAGAAGGCAUUAAAGAAGUGUGCAGGGAAGCAGCAAUCAACUGUGCCCUAAAGCAGACAGGAGAAGCCAAGUGUAUGGCAAGGAUUGGGUCAAAGACCCUUCUGGGAAGUCAGCACACCCCUGCCUGAUUCAGGAUUUGCUGGGAGAGGCAGUUCAAAAAUCUAAGACUUUACUGGAUUGUCAUUGUCCACACACAAUCUGCUUAGUGAAACUUUCUAA